rnacentral:rRNA from 1 species
GAUGAACGCUGGCGGCGUGCUUAACACAUGCAAGUCGAACGGUAACAGGCCUUCGGGCGCUGACGAGUGGCGGACGGGUGAGUAACGCGUAGGAAUCUGCCUCAUAGUGGGGGACAACGUGGGGAAACUCACGCUAAUACCGCAUACGCCCUACGGGGGAAAGCGGGGGAUCUUCGGACCUCGCGCUAUGAGAUGAGCCUGCGUUAGAUUAGCUAGUUGGUAGGGUAAAGGCCUACCAAGGCGACGAUCUAUAGCUGGUCUGAGAGGACGAUCAGCCACACUGGGACUGAGACACGGCCCAGACUCCUACGGGAGGCAG